rnacentral:lncRNA from 1 species
ACUUACAGUGACAUGUCAUGAGAAUCAGUCAAGAAAAGCGAAAAGAAAUUUUUUUAAAGGUAGACGGUGGAUUUUUUUUAAGGAAAAAGAACGAUUAUACUCACUUGUUGGGGAGUAGGAAUCUGAAAGAAUUAAAAAGAGAUAAUCUGACUUCAUUUAUUGGCCAGUUAACAAUGUAAUGAGAAACACUUUGUGUAAACUGGAAAGAUUCGUUCAAAGUUUAUAAAAUGUUGUCUUCUCAAAACAAGAGACAGUGACAUUUACAUUCUUCUCUAAACAUAAUUUCAAGUCAAGGUCUUGAUGGCAUUAAUUAUGUUUCCAUAGUUACAUUUAACCUCUCCAAGUCAUAUAAACCCUUAUGAGAAACCCCUUUGACACAGACACUGGGAUUUUUCUGCCUCUUUUAUUGCUAUUUAUCACAAUUUUCAGACGUCUUUAAAAGUGAGACAACAUUUUCUGAACACUGGUAUUUCAGAGAGAAAAAGAGAAAAUUUAAAACAAGGUCAUCACCAGCUCUGUUUGCUUUGUCUUUUGUGGGGGUGAUAUUUGCACAGAAUCAUGAAGGCAACCAUACAUCUGCUGAUGAAAAUGAAGAUGGAACAGGACUAUCUCAGCCCAAAGGACAAGGACAUUUGCCAUCAAGUGGCCUUUGUUCUAUUCCCAACCCCUCUAUCAUCUCUUCAAAAUUGGGUGGCUUUCCUAUCUCCCUAGCAAUGGCCACGGAUGCCUGAAGCCACAGGAAGAUGGGCAGGUAUGCAGAGCUCCCGGAACACUGCACUCAGCUCACUGGCCUUCAAGCCUCUGGAUGGAGCCUUAACUUGUAUCUUAUAUAGAUACUUAAUCGCUGUCCUUUCAAGCAACGAAGAUAGAUAAUAUGUAAUCCUUGCCAGGGCCCCCAGCCCUCAGUGAUUCUGCUGCCUACACUGUGGUAUAGACCAGAAGUUAGAGCAACUAUCUGCAUUUUACUUGACAAGGAAAUGUUUUUAAUGAAAAACUUUAAUAAAAAUGUAUUCUUGGCUUCUGCAAU